CCCGCUCACCCGAAGUUCUGCUUUCGAUCGCUCGAUCACCUUGAUCUCGAGCCUCCUCCCGUUCUCCCCUCGGAUUGACGAUCUUCCGAGUGACCCCCAAGUCGUCGAACGCCGCUCUCUGUCGUUUGAGGUGGAUUCGUUCGGCCCUCUUCUCGAAUAUAGAGAACCCUAAUCUUGAUAUUUUGGUCUUGGUCUCUUUGUGGAUCUCCCUUGCUUUCGUCGGAGUUCUGCUCAGCUUUCCUUUGCUGAUCGGGGCGAGUUCAUUUGGUCGAGACGAGUUCGAGAUGCACCCUCGAACGGGUACGAGCCCCAAUUUCUACGAGCAGCAGCAGAGCCAGCAAUGGUUGAGGGGAAAUCAGAUGGGAGGCGAUUCUGGUGCUGCUGAAGUAGUGGAAUUUGUUCAAUCUGAGUAGAUCAAUCGGAAGCCACAAUUUGAAAGAGUUCCUUAUGGUGCCUGCGUGGUUGAUGGAUAUUUGCGUGCUCUUUGACUAUCUCAUUAAGCUUAUCGAGCACGUCAGUUUGGAUUCGGUGUUGGUGAAGUUGUCAGAGGUAUUUAACACGCCAGAAGAAUAAAAAGCAGCGGCCUUUGUCAUGAGAUCUAUUGUUCUUCUUGGUCAUAGAUCGGGUAGGAUACUCUCGGGUUCCUGUCUUUGGGUUUGGCCUUCGAGAAGCCUUUGCAGCAAUCAGUGCGGAAAGGAUGACGGGUUUCCAAAAGAUAGCAGCAAGAAAGUUGAUCCUGGGCAUCUUGGAAUUUCUCCAGAAAGGGUCCGUAGAGACAAAGAAGCAUUUCCCUCAAAGGAUGCUGAAGAAAGAUUGGAUUUUGCAGAUAAUAAGUUUGAUUUUGGGGGAAAUAAUGAGGAAGAGUUGGAGUGUGGACACCUCCCUGAGGAAACCCUUCUUGGUUUCUCAAUUGGUGGUACAGACACAGCAGAUGAUGAUGAUCAGAGCGAUCGCCGUGGCAACAAUAAUCCUCGACGGAGGUUUAUAGAGGGUAAUAAGGCUGAAGCUGACAGGGUGUUUGAGAUCUUACAACAGGAUGGGCCUGCAUUCAAUGUCCGGUCAGCACUAGAUGAGCUGCGUCUGCAUGUCUCCAAUGCAUUGGUGAGAGAAGUUCUUCUCCGCAUUCUUAUGUCUAUAAAUGGUGCCAACAGGUUGCGGUGUGCCAAAUUGGCCUAUAAGUUCUUUGUGUGGUCGGGUCAACAGAUGGACUACAGGCAUAACACUAACAGCUAUAAUCUUACCCUGAAAGUUUUUGCAGAAGCUAAGGAAUUGAAAGCCAUGUGGAGACUGAUGGAUGAGAUGAUCGAGAAGGCAUUGCCAAUCACUGCACGCACAUUUAUAAUAUUGAUUUGCACUUGUGGAGAGGCUGGCAUGGCCAGGAAGGUGGUCGAGAGGUUUAUAAAAUCCAAAAAUUUUAUCUACCGGCCUUUCAAGCACUCCUUCAAUGCAAUUCUCCAUUCUCUUCUAACUGUGAAUCAGUAUUGGUUGGUAGAGUGGGUUCAUCAAAAGAUGCUGCUCGAGGGGUACUCGCCAGAUGUUUUGACCUAUAAUGUCGUCAUGCGUGCUAAAUACAUGCUAGGAAAGUUGGAUCAGUUCCAUAGAUUGCUUGAUGAGAUGGGGAAAAAUGGGUUUGCUCCCGACCUCCACACGUAUAAUCUCAUGCUCCAUGUGCUUGGGAAAAGUAAUAAACCACUUUCUGCACUUAAACUUUUAAACUAUAUGAACGAUGUAGGCUGCCAUCCUAGUGUUCUUCAUUUUACCACUUUGAUUGAUGGGCUUAGUCGUGCUGAGAAUGUUGAUGCUUGCAAAUACUUUUAUGAUGAGAUGGUUAAGAAAGGGUGUGAACCAGAUGUAGUAUGUUAUACUGUGAUGAUAACUGGCUAUGUAAUUGCAGGAGAGUUUGAUAAGGCACAGGAAAUAUUUCAAGAUAUGUUAAUCAGCGGGCAACUUCCAAAUGUUUUUACAUACAAUGCUAUUAUCCGUGGGUUUUGCAUUACUGGGAAGUUUGACGAGGCAUGUUCCAUGUUGAAGGAUAUGGAUACAAGGGGCUGCACUCCAAACUUCUCAGUAUACAGCAGUUUAGUUGCAAGAUUAAGAAAUGCAGGAAAGGUUUCUCAAGCAAAUGAUAUAAUCAACUAUAUGGUAGAGAAAGGUCACUAUCUUCAUUUAGUAUCAAGGUUCAAGGGUUACAGAAGACGUUAGCUGAAAUUGUAUGAAUGGCCAUUUGUGAACUGUGGAUACCAUUCUUUUUAGCUAAAUGGUGUUUGCAGGAGUUGAAGUAACAGAGACUAUUUACCUCAAGCAUUUUAUGAGGAUUAGAUCCCCAAGCUUAUCUUGUUUCUCUUUUAUCUUUAGUAUCUUAGGCAGCAAAGAAAGAGAAAAUGGUUCCAAUGGUUGUUCUUUUCGGAUCAUAACUUUUCAAGGAAGUACUAUUAGGUAGUUAUUGAAGAUAUACUAGAUGUUCUGAUAUAGUGUCAUUAGAGGAGUACUUUUCCUCAGAAACUUAUAACACAAUUGGGAUAAUGGAAGGAAGGAUAUGGCAAUUUGAAAGGAGAAUAACAGAAAAAUCAGGUUGGACAAUCCCAUGCUUUCGUGUCCUUUCUCUUAUUCUGAUUGUUAGAUAUUCAAUUUUCCUUUUUAUUGUUCAUUAAACCAAGUUCAUUUUACCUAACUUGGAAAUAAUGCUUUGCUGGGGCUUAUAUCUUUUGUGGAUCCAAUGAUUUCAUAAAUUGGACAGAUACUAACUGAGAUGGUUGAAUCUUUGCUGCAUGUUCUUGUUUCUCUACCCUAUUUAUUCAUAGUUGAGAAACAUAGUGAAAACACUUGCAUUUUAGUUAUGUGGCCUUCAUAUGUGAUGCUUGUUUCAUGUUAUAUACAUAAUAUUUUUCUGACAUAUCAAGUUAUUUACGUUUGGUUGAUUCUCAUAAUCUUCUGCAUCUAGGAUAUCUAUGAUCUUCUCAAUCGGUGCUGAACUGUUGAUCCUUUAUGAGGCCACACAACAUGCCUAAAGUGGUAGAAAAAAAAAUUAUUGGAAAAAAAAAAUUCAGACAAGCUUUUGUUACUUCUAAAAUGCUGAAAAAUACAGAAAAAGAGCUGAUUCGGCUGGAACUAUCAUAAUAAAAGUAAUUUCAUUAGUGUUUGGGGCAUGGUUUGCAGUACCGGUCCGUACCGGUCCGCCAGACUUCCGGUACGCGGACAUAUGUUACCGUUCCGACACUGUAGCAGUAUUGUAGCGGACAUAUGGUACACCUGGGUGUACCGAGCGGUAUACCGUACCGUACCGGUACCGAGCCCAGGUCGAAACUCCGGUACGGUACGGUAUUGCGAACCUUGGUUUGGGGCCUGUGAGCUCUUUCAUCCCAGGCACUGAGUCACAUCAAAGAUAAGAGCAACUUUCUGUUCUCAUUUCUCUCUGUUUAUGAUUGGCAUUUUCAAUCAUGACAUAAGUUAUGACUUAUAUGCGAUGAUCUGCUAAAGUUUGAACACGGCAGCAAUUAUAUGUUCACUAAUUCAGCCCAUAAUUUUUGAAGGGUUUCUGUUAUUUUAUCAUAAGCGAAAUCUUCAAUUAUGCAUAGAAAACAUAAUUUGCAUCAGCAAUACUUUUUUCCUAUUAGCACUGCAUGACAAAGGGAAUGCCACUGAUGAUGUAGCCCAUUGAGUUUAGCUUUUUGUAGGGGCUACUAAUAAGUUGGCUUUAUUUCCUUUAAGUUCUGUCUCUUAUUUUAUUCCUUUGAGCAUGAUGAAUUCAUGGAAAGAUUUUUUUUUGUCACUUCCUGUUUAUAUCUAUGAAAAAGAAUCAAAUUCUUUAUCAUGUGAGAUCAGAUUAUAAAUUUUUCCUUGAGCUUACUCUGAUACUAAUUCCUUUACACACCUUAUCACAGAAAAAAUGUGAAGAAUUUUUCUUUCUAGAAUUACCAGAGAGAGUAAACCUAGAAGCUUCGUUAUAUUUCUCAUCAGAACCUAUAGAUCUAUAUGGAAUAUUCAUAUCUCUUUAUCCAACUGCAUAUGAAAAAUACAAAUAUGUUCCUAAACGCAACCAAAGAUCUAAGCAUAAUCUCUUAAAACUAAAUCCAACACAAAAUGUCUUAAUCAUAGGCCAAUAAAAACCAAGUGAUAAGGCCCUAACCUUUGUGAGCCCCCCAUAAGGCCCAAGUUUAUUGUACCCCCCUAGAACUUAUUCUGACCAGUACACAUAGAGCUUAAAAUAUAUAAAUGGCCCAUGCAGAUUUCGAAGUUGCGACCUUCGCGUGCUAAAACGCUCUAACCAACUGAGCUAAUAGGCCUUAUUGAAAUAAUUAAAUCAUAAUUUCUAGGAUUUCUAUCUUGCAUAUAGAAUUCUUUUUAUAUUUGGAUUUUUUAUCCACCAAGGAUCGUCUCUAAGAAUUCAAAAAUACUUCAAACUUCAACAGUAGCGUAGAACUGAAAUGCUUGUCUAUCUUAUUUGUGGAAUUCUGGAAUUACCCUUACUAGUAUUGACAUAAUUUUGAGCAUGGAUCGAGUGAUGAGAUGAUCUUUUUAAACAAAUAUCAAACAGCUUGUAAACAAUCUAUGGAUCAGAAAGGAAGGCAUAAUAGUUCUGGAUGAAAAGAAAUCAUGUGAUGUCUAAUCCUGGAACUCUAAAUGGAACACAUUUGCCUUAUAUGGAGACUUGCUUGAUCACUGAGAAUGCAUCACCUAGUCUUGGAUGCUAUAUAUGUGUGUGUUUUCAAUAGCUCCACUGGUGGCCAAGAAACACACGCACACGUAUAGCAUGGAAGACUUGGUGAUCAAGAGAUGCCUUCAUUCUCAAGGACCUGUGUUCUUGAGACAUUGUUGGUAUCAUAAAAUAUAUUUUGUGUGAAAACUUGACUAGAAUUUUAGAAUUAAAAAAAUACUUAGUGUAUGGCUGAAAAUUUUUGUAUUUCUGUUAUAUGAAUAAAGGUCCAUUUACAGACUUUCUCAUGGCAAAUAGUUUAUAAUUUUAAAAGAAAUCUUAUGCAUGAACUUAGUUUUUACUCAUGAUUCUGAUAUUGUUUAUGGGUGAUUGAGUUGUUUGUCAUGCCAUUGGGGUGCCUCCCAAAUGCUGUGGUAGACACAGGGACCCUUUCCUUGUCAGAAUGUAUCAUAUGUAUUUAUGGAUCAUUUAGUUAUUCCUCUUAAUUCUGAUAUUGUUUAGAGGUGAUAGUGUUGUUUGUCAUGCGUUUGAGGUGCCUCCCAAAUUCUGUGGUAGACACAAGGAGGACCCUUUCCUUGUCAUAGUGUUGUAUCAUAUGUAUUUAUGAAUCAUUUAGUUUUUCUAUUCGGGGAGGCUAAAUCAGGAAAUUAGGCUAUAGUAGUGUCCCUAAACUGGUUUAGGAUUAAUCUAUUUAUAUAAUCCUACCUAUUUUUAUUUUGUAAAUAUGUACAUUCCCGAAAAAUAUUACUAGAUUUAUUGCAGCUACAUGCUACAGUCAUUUGCUCUAAUCACAGUAUAUUUGUUUCUGUACAUUUGUUUAUUUGACUUGUGUAUUGAAAUUUUGUUGUCCGUGCAUUGCACAGUCAUUUAGGUGAAAGCAGUGUGCUUCAUCUUUUAAAAAUUCCAUGGGAAAUUAAUUGAACAAUUAUUUCGAACAUUAUUUCUUGAGAAUAUCUAUAGCUAGCUCUGCCACAUUAUCUAUGAUUAUAAUUGGUUUUCUGUUCCGUAAAACCUGCCACAUUAUCGUGUGAGGGCCAUCUGAUGAGCAUCAGAUUCUGCGUCGAGACAGAUCGUCCUCGAUGUAAUAAAAGAAAUCUGGAGAUUGUUGGUGUCGUUGACGACAAUGGCAUCCUUUGUUGCGAGCUGGGCGGAAAACCACAUCUUUGCUACGUUUCUCUGUUGCAAUCUGGGCGAUGAUCCGGAGAUCGUCGCUGUCUGUCAUUGAUGAGAAAUUGGGAAGCAACGUUGCUACAGUACCCUACUGCAAGCUGGGCGAUGAUCUGGAGAUCGUCGGUGUCUGUCAUUGAUGAGAAAUAGGGAAGCAACGUUUUGCUACAGCACCCUACUGCAAGCUGGGCAAUGAUCCGGAGAUCGUCGGUGUCUGUCAUUGAUGAGAAAUAGGGAAGCAACGUUUGCUACAGUACCCUACUGCAAGCUGGGCGGUGCCAUUUCCAGCCUUGCGUCGAUCUCGACGAGAGUUAUCAUGUUGUCGGUGUGGACGGCGAUCACCGUCGGCCGAGGCUCCACUCUUGGAAUGGAAUCCACACAUUAGCGAGGUUGCAUAGAGAACAUUCUGCAAGAACAGAGGCAGAGGAAAUCACAGCACUACCAUCACUUUUUACCGUUGGAGUUAUUUCCUCAACGAUGUGUUCUAUGGUCAAAGGACAAUGGGAUAUGAAGAUCUUUAGGAAGUUAAAAUUAAAAUAUACUUAAAUCA